ensembl:snoRNA
UGGACCAGUGAUGACGACUGGGGGCAUGUGCUUCAUAUAUGGUGAAUGCUAAUGUGUCUGGAAUUCUGAAGUCCAA